GUGAUCCCUUACAAGACACUGAGGACUGAGUAAAAGCCCUUUGAAGCCAAACGACGGCUGCUGGGGAACUUUGACAUGUUUCUUUCAGACGACCGCAUUCGCCGCCUGCUGUCCUCGCACAUCGGCAAGCACUUCUACGAGAGAAAGAAGGAGCCUUUGUCAUUGAACCUGCAGAGCAAGAAGCUGGCCUUGGACAUCCAGAGGGAACAUCCAGGGAACAACAACCUCCAUUUCUAAGAAAGGCUGCUACUGCAUGGCUUGUGUGGCCCACUCUGGGAUGGCUGCAGAUGAAAUAGCAGAGAAUAUUGAUUCAGCUGUCAGCACCAUCGUGACAAAACUACGGGUUAGGUGAGUUUACUGCCAGGAUGUCUUCCUGAUCUCCCUAAUCAAUUGUACCCCGUCAUCACAGAUAUUUACACUUUUAUUAUACGUUAAAUGGUCAGGUAUACUCAAUGUUUAUUAAUGCUAAAGAAAUGUGUGGGCCCAGUCUGAAAAUCACCUUUGAUAUCUCUGUUGUCUGAGGUGAGAUUACAGGGCCUAUAGUACUGUGGUACGUUAAGCUUAUUGCCUGCUCUGUAUAGCAGUGUGAUUAAACCCAUGUGCCUACAAUCCUGAUCCUUGACCUGAAUGUAUGAGUGAUUGUGUUCUUUGAGUAUAAAGUGUUGUCUCUUUUGCAGAAAGGACCGUUGAUAAAGGUCAUCCACUUGAAAAGCCAAUCAGUGGCUCUGCCCAUCUACACCUCUAACCUGAGUAACCUGACCCUUAUAGAUGAAACACAGAAACAGACCCGCGCAGCCAUGGAUGCCAAGAAAGGACCGUUGAUAAAGGUCAUCCACUUGAAAAGCCAAUCAGUGGCUCUGCCCAUCUACACCUCUAACCUGAGUAACCUGACCCUUAUAGAUGAAACACAGAAACAGACCCGCGCAGCCAUGGAUGCCAAGAAAAAUGCGCGGAAACAGAAGUCUGCAAAGAAAGAACAGAAGUCUACAGAAAAAAACUCUGGUGCUGACAGGGAGGAAGAGGUUCCCAUAGUAAUGCCAAGGAAAAAGGCUAGUGGAGAAGCCGACCAAGAAGGGACUUGUGAAGGUACCCAAACCAACAGGAGGAAAGGUAUAAAAUAAAAAAUGACCAAGAAGGCUGCAAAAAUACCUUCACAAAAUAUGAAAAGAGAAAGUGCCUAAAUCUUAAUGUCUGUUUGUCAACUCAGUGUAACACAACUCUCCUUUCUCUCCCCAUUGCUACCUGUGUAUUACUCCCGCCUUCUCUAAAUGGAACUCUGACUUCAUUAUACUGAUAUAAAAAGGACUGGUUCUGAAUGUAUAUAAACUGUCAAUGUUAAUCGAGCCAAGGACAAACUCAAAUGUGUUGCAAAUCUUUGUCUGCCCCAUAAAAGGGUCUUGUUCAAAAUCAUAUUUUUUAUAAGCCCAACUUGUAAAUUAAAAUAUUACCACAAAGUAUAUUUCAUGUCUUUAAUUUGUUAUCCACAAUGACAUUGU
rnacentral:lncRNA from 1 species